UAACAUACAAAUGGAAAUACUAUUAUUUAGGAAGAAAUAACCAGCUUGAAUAAUCUUACAAACUUCAUAUAACCAUUAAACAUGAAAAAAUUUGAACUUCACACACAUCAGCUUCACUGCAUUAACUACAAGAAGCAAUAAACACUAAGAGUUGCUUUCUCUCGAUUUCCAGCUAGGUCUUUUUUUAUUGCUGCAAUAAGAAUUUUCACACCAAGUCCUUCAUUACACGAAAUAACAUUAUGGUAGCCUAAGGAUGAGGAGGGAAAUAAGGUGGAAGGGGUGGGAAAUAUCCAAUCUUGGGGUGGUGGAAGUACUUUGGUGGAAACUUGGGAUGGUGGAAGUACUUUGGAGGAAGCUUAGGAAGAGGAGUAAUGGGUGGGAAAGGUUUCUUAUAUAUUGGAACCAGUGGUGGAAGUGGCUUUGUGUAUACCGGAACUAGAGGUGGGAAUGGCUUCUUGUAAAUAGGAAUUGGUGGAUGCGUAUAAACUGGUAGAGGUGGGAAUGGUUUCUUGUAAAUAGGAAUCGGUGGAUGUGUAUAAACUGGUAGAGGUGGGAGUGGCUUCUUGUAAAUAGGAAUUGGUGGAUGUGUAUAAACCGGUAGAGGUGGGAGUGGCUUCUUGUAAAUAGGAAUUGGUGGAUGCGUAUAAACCGGUGGUUUUGGCUUUGGUUUGUAAACUGGAAUUGGUGGAUGCGUAUAAACCGGUGGCUUUGGCUUUGGUUUGUAAACUGGAACUGGGGUAGGGUUGUAAACUGGUGGUUUUGGUUCGUAAGUAGGAACUGGUGGUGGAAGCGGCUUUGUAUAUACUGGAACUGGUGGUGGAAGCGGCUUUGUAUAUACUGGAAUUGGUGGUGGAAGUGGCUUUGUAUAUACUGGAACUGGCGGUGGAAGCGGGUUCUCAUAUAUUGGUACCGGUGGUGGGAAAGGCUUUUUGUAAAUUGGAGGGAAAGGAAUUUUGUGUUUUGGUGGAAGAGGGAAUAUAUGACCAAAGUGUUUGAAUGGUGGGAGGUACUUUUUCCAUGGGUGUUGAGGCAAAGGUGGUAGUUUGGGUAGUGGAGGAUACUUGUAGUGAGGCCAUAAGAAGGCUGAAGUGCACAAAGCUGUUGAGAAUUUCAGUUUUCCUGUUGGGCCAAAAGUGUGCUUUUCCUCAGAUUUCGAUUGGAAAAUAAUCUUUGAGGCCUCUAUGCCACUGUGAGCAGGGCAUGGUGCUGCUGAUGCACUGUGCAGCUGUGCAUAGCAUUCCUCCUUCAAUUUUCCAUCUUUUAUGAUUUCCUUAGGAAGAUUAACCUUG
rnacentral:lncRNA from 1 species